GCGGCGCUCCGGCUGGCUGGGAAAUGUCAGCCGCUUGACUGGGGCCGGGUUUUCCUUACGGCAGAGCCUGCAGGCCUUCUAGUGCUCGUCACCGCCGUGGCCUCGGAGCGUGGGUCCCAGAUCCUGGACUAUUGUUGCCGACGCAGACUUUCCCGGUCCUUCCAGACGCUGUCUGGCGAGAUCGGACGGUGAGCCCGAUGGGGAGAGCGUGAGGCACUGUGGGGUCGAAGGUCUGAGGCCGAGAGUAGGCGGAGAUCGAAAGGACCUCGGAGACCCCAAACAACCGCCGCCGCGGCCCUAAGUUCCCGGCCACUGAGGGGAGGCGGUAGUCCGGCCCCCCUGGCCAGUUUACAGAUAUGAUCCAGACCUGCACAUGAAUGACUUCUGGUUAGUCGGAGUGAACAUUCAAUAAUGAGUGGUGCAGCUUUGGGACUCGAGAUUGUUUUUGUCUUUUUUCUGGCAUUAUUCCUACUUCAUCGAUAUGGAGACUUUAAGAAACAGCAUAGACUUGUUAUUAUUGGAACACUGCUAGCUUGGUAUCUCUGCUUUCUUAUCGUCUUCAUACUGCCUCUGGAUGUCAGUACGACAAUAUACAACCGCUGUAGGCAUGCGGCCGCAAACUCAAGCCCUCCCGAGAACAGCAACGUUACCGGAUUCCAUGCAACUGCUACCCCGGUUCCAAGCCGACAUCCAUGUUUCAAGCCAUGGAGUUACAUUCCUGAUGGAAUCAUGCCAAUUUUCUGGAGGGUAGUAUAUUGGACAUCACAGUUUUUAACAUGGAUCCUGUUACCUUUUAUGCAGUCCUAUGCAAGAUCAGGAGGGUUUUCCAUUACCGGGAAGAUCAAAACCGCACUGAUUGAGAAUGCGAUCUAUUAUGGCACCUAUUUGCUGAUUUUUGGAGCAUUUUUAAUAUAUGUAGCUGUAAACCCACAUUUGCACUUAGAAUGGAACCAGCUUCAGACAAUCGGAAUCGCUGCUGCCAACACCUGGGGCCUGUUUCUGCUCGUGUUGUUGUUGGGAUAUGGUUUGGUAGAAAUUCCUCGGUCGUACUGGACUGGAGCAAAAAGAGGCUACCUGCUUAUGAAAACGUACUUUAAGGCAGCCAAACUGAUGACAGAAAAAGCGGAUGCUGAAGAGACUUUAGAAGAUGUCAUGGAGGAGGUUCGUAAAGUGAAUGAAAGCAUCAAGUAUAAUCACCCAUUGAGAAAAUGUGUUGACACAAUACUUAAAAAGUGCCCUACGGAGUAUCAGGAAAAAAUGGGUAGGAACAUGGAUGAUUAUGAAGAUUUUGAUGAAAAGCAUAAUACCUACCCAACUGAAAAAAGUCUGGUAAAACUACAUAAACAGGUGAUUUAUUCAGUUCAGAGGCACCGUCGAACUCAAGUACAAUGGCAGAUUCUUUUGGAACAAGCAUUUUAUCUAGAAGAUGUAGCAAAAAAUGAAACUAGUGCUACUCGUCAGUUUGUUCACACCUUUCAGUCACCAGAGCCAGAAAACAAAUUUACCCAAUAUUUUUAUAAUCCUACAGUUGAAUGGUACUGGGAAUGUCUUUUGAGACCAUGGUUUUAUAGGAUACUUGCUGUGGUUUUGUCCAUCUUCUCCGUGAUUGUCGUGUGGUCAGAAUGCACAUUCUUUAGCACUACACCUGUCUUAUCCCUCUUUGCAGUCUUCAUACAGCUGGCUGAAAAAACAUACAAUUAUAUUUAUAUAGAGAUUGCCUGCUUCCUUUCCAUCUUCUUUCUGAGUAUCUGCGUUUAUUCUACUGUGUUCAGGAUUCGUGUCUUUAACUAUUAUUACUUGGCUUCGCAUCACCAGACUGAUGCUUACAGCCUUCUCUUCAGUGGCAUGUUAUUUUGCCGUUUGACUCCUCCUUUAUGUCUUAAUUUCCUGGGUUUGACCCAUAUGGAUUCAUCCAUCUCUCACCAGAAUACGCAGCCAACUGCUUACACAUCUAUUAUGGGUUCCAUGAAAGUUUUAUCCUUUAUUGCAGAUGGAUUCUAUAUAUAUUAUCCUAUGUUGGUGGUAAUUCUCUGCAUUGCUACUUACUUUAGUUUGGGAACUCGUUGUUUGAAUCUACUUGGUUUCCAGCAGUUCAUGGGAGAUAAUGAUAUGACAUCAGACUUGGUUGAUGAAGGAAAAGAAUUAAUCAGACGAGAGAAGAGAAAAAGGCAAAGGCAAGAAGAAGGUGAAAAUCGAAGAAGAGAAUGGAAAGAACGCUAUGGACACACUAGAGAAGACUCCACGAGAAACAGAAAUGUUCACGUUGACCCGAAAGAAUCAAACCUCUCAGAUAUUAGUACCAACCGAUCAGCAUCCAAAUAUACCAGGGCUAAUAACAGGACUGAAAGGGACCGAAUAGAGCUCCUCCAAGAUGUAGAACCUUUGGAUUUUAAUGCAGAAACAUUCACUGAUGAUCCUCUUGAGUCUGAGCCAGGAAGAUCAUUUCUUUAUCCACCUUUCAGGUAUCAGCCUGGUGGACGAUACCUCUCGAUGUCUCACAGCAGAAUAUUUGAUGAUGUUUAAAGUCUGAAGAAUUUAUGGAACAACUAACCAAGAUCAACACAUCAGUUCAGUCUUUCCGAACAUAUGUUUUGUCAUGAAACCCAGAUGCUGUAGAAGCAGAAAAGGAGAAGAAAUUAUCCAGUCACUUUUGUAACUUAUAAUGCCCUAAAAUAAACUGAUAGGAAUAUGUAGGGGAAUGUACUACUUUCCUUUAUUAUUAAAAUUUUUAUGAUUAUAGUAAUCGAAGUAUAUGUAAUACUUCACAAACAAUAUAGCUCCCUUUGUGACUUUUGGGCUACUCCCCAAGUAAUUCUUGGUUACGUGAUCUAGACUGUUCAACUUUUUAAGCAGAAUUUAUCUUACAGGAUUUUUUAUAUGAUCAUAUGGGAAGGUUACCUGACUGGGUAAAUUUGAUUUAACCCCUUAAGAAUAAAGAGUUUAUUGCUGCAGAACUAAGUUAAUAUUUGUUAAGCCACCGUGUGUAGAAAACUGGAGUACAAACAUAAGUUUUCUUUUGGGGGAAGCUUAUGCAAAACAUUACUACUAAAUUCAUACACGUUAAAUGCAGAGAAAUUUCCUGAAGAAUUACUUCUGACAAUUAGCUUUUAAUGUCUUUCUUACAUAAUAAUAAAUAACUGAUUACACUUUUAAAAUUAUUUUUCUAAACAGUCAUUAGGUAAGCAUAUUCAGUAAGCCAGUAAUUCAAAUAGCCAUUUCAAAAAUAAUAAAUCUAUUAAUUUCAUGAAUUACCUGUAAGUUGCUAAUUAACUUUUGUUACUACAUCAAUAACUUAUCAACAGGGCAUUUUUAUAAAAUUAUUAUUAAAAUAAGGCAUAAGGGACAAGCCUAAUUGUUAGAAUUUGCUCUCUUUCCAAAUGAAUACAGGGCCUUGGAAUAAUUUCAGUACACAAGAGGCCUUCAUUUCACAAGAGUGGUAAGAGCUAAAUUAAAAGUCAAGGAUUUUCCAUUUAUAAAAAAUAGAUUAGAAAUUUGGACAACCCACACCAAAAAGAAAUGCUGUGAGUUGAUCUGGUUUUGAAUUCUAUUUGAUCACUUCUGAAAUUUACACUGGUUGUGUACCCAAAUGAAAUUAAAUGUGAAGAGGGAAGUCCAUUUGUGUGUUUUUUAUACUUUAGCAUACAAAUGAAAGAAUUUCAUUUAUGUGCAAUAACAAACCUCAUUUUUUUUUAUCUUGUAAUAGAUUCAGGGAAUGUUCUUGAUGGUGUGUUGAUUACCAUCUUAAAAGAAAAAUAAACUCUCCAUUAUUAUAAUUCACACUGCUCAGUAACGUUGAGUUUUAUACUUGUGAUUUGAGUGGACCGUGCCUGAAAAUCACAAGGAUAAGUGUAUUUGCACUAACGAGGCAAAACAUGUCCCUGAAAAAUCUUAACAUACUUGAAUCUCCGAAUUGUAAUGGGUCACAUUACAUUAAACUCUACGUGUUAAGAAGUAAAUGGAUUUAAAGUUUUAUCUUUCCUUUCUUUACUUCCUUCCUUCAUUCCUUUCUUACCUUCCUUUCUGAGUCUCUCUUUCUAAUACGACUUUUAAUGUACUGACAGAUUAGUCUUCUGUUUUGUGUACACAGAUGUUUCUGAAGAUCUGUACACUCAAAAGGAACUAGUUCUGGUUCCAGAUCCCACUACUUGAAUAGCAAUAUUGCACCUAAAGUAGUGAAACAGGUGUUUCUAGACAACUAAGCAACAUCUGAAUGUAAAUGUGAUGUAUGCUGGCUUGGUGUGUUGUCUUUAGGUCACUAAGGAGGGCACUUCAUUAAAAUGAAAUAUUCUCAGUGUAAUGUUUUGGCAUAAAAAUGGAUUUCCAAAACCAGUGAUUGUUAAAACAAAACCCCAAAAAGAUUUAGAGCCUUGAGGUAUCUUUUUAUGAAAAGAAACUCAUAAAUAACCUAUGUCGCUGCCAAAGUUUUCAUUAGAAGCUACAAGAGGUUGGAACACUACAAGAGGGUUACAGAAGGCCUUCUAAAUUCCCUCAAUAUAGGGUACUUCUUCCUAAAGGACUUUGUUCCUGGUCAGAGAGCUGGAAGGCCAAACGGGUCCUCCCCACUCCCAAUUCCUGAGGCCCUGUGAUCAUCUCCGCCAGCAGAGCAGGCACGAGCCCUGCCCAUCCCAGUCCCAUCAGUGGGAACAUGACCUUACCUCUAAUUCCUUUCACGCUCAGCCUGGUCUUCCUAAAAUUUUAUUGUCAAAAGAUUUGUCCAUUGAGGUUGAUUGAAACCUUGCUGAAAUUUUUAAUUUGUUGAUAAAGCAAGAAUAUUGGCAUGGUCCUCUUCUUGUUGAUAUCCUAGAAGACAUUUGUUUUUAACACACUUCUGGGGGAGAAUUAACUAUUUUUCUCCUGCAAAUCUUUUCUUUUGUGGUUAUCUUGAUCUCCUAUCAUUUUCUAAAAGAUUUUUUCUGUACUUAGGGCAAAAAGAGUAGAAAGAGUGGUUUACAUGUCUAUGGCAGACAUGAUGUAGGGGAAAGUCAUAAUUUAUUAGUCUGAGUAUACAACACCUUUUUGAGUUGAUACUAUUGAUACAAAUCUUACCAACCUAGUCACUUAGAGCUGUAUUUCUCAAAAGAAUGCUGGCUAGCGUCUUCCCGACUUAGUACACCAAGUUGUAGGGGAGAGACUGUAUUUAUUUUAUUAGAAGCAAUCCAAUGGAUUUGUUUUUGUCCAUACUUUGAAAACAGCUUGAAGGAUUUUUCUCAUAUUAGAAGGUAGAGAACAUGUGGACAUGUCUUUUAAAUUACUGUAAUUUAAUAUAUAUUUAUAAAUUAGAUAGCCUUGAAACAAGAGCUCUAAUAUUGAUGUUGUUACUUUCUGCUAUUUAAUUUUUAUAAAAUGUUUUUGUAGCAACUAAUUGUAGUCCUUUUAAGUAGUUUAAAAAUCUUUCUCAAAUAAGUUCUACCCACAUCCUGUUUACUUAGGGCAAUAUUCUAAACUUCAGUCGUCCAGUGUAAAUUUGAAAUGUACCUUCAUCCCUUCAGUGUCUUUUUAUAUCUGCCAGUACUCAAGCAAAGUAUACCAAAAGCUUAAUUCCUGUGUUGCAUUAAUAAAGUACUUGUUCUUUAUCUAAUUCAGUGGAUUAGGUGUAAUAGAAGAUAGGUCUUUUCAAGUGUUGCAUCAGAUCAUAUUUUUCCAGACGUUCAUUAUGUUGAUUUUUGGUGCAUGAUGCCAAAUUAUCUUUAAUCAGCCAUUACUACCUGAUAUGUAAUGACCAAUGGGUUGUAGAUUUAACAGUUUUUCUCUGCAUAUUCUCACUACAUUUUCAAAUAUGUAUGUGGAAAAAGCUGCAAAGUGCUACCUAUAAGUGAGUUAGCAUCUUUGGCCUUAUCUAUGCAUAAUGUUCUCUCAGUUUGGUUUUGACAAACUUGUGGACUUGCAGUUGCUUUGUAGUAUUUUAAAUUAUUGUGAUGUAAUGAAUUUUUUGAAAUGUCUGAUUAGCUAUUAAAAUAUAGGAAAUUAUGUGGCUUUGCAUGAAAUAAAGUACAUUUCUACAAGUUCCUAAGAAUUUUGCAGAUUAUGCAUUUGAUUUCAUACCAUCUUUGAGAUUAAACUCUUAAGGAGGCUGAAGCUUUGUUUUUAACAAAUAUAUUAACAGAUAUUACAAAUAAAAUAUUUUAAGAUAAAUAA